GCAGCAGUGGUCUAGUUGUAGAAUAGUACCCUGCCAUGGUACAGACCCGGGUUCGAUUCCCGGCUGAUGCACCAAUGAGCUGUGAUGUUAUAUGCCUUUGCUGUUGGUUGGGUCCAACACGUUGUCUGAUUUCUGUAUGAUAUGACAAAAUAGGCCCUUCUGAGCUC
rnacentral:sRNA from 1 species